UACGUAGGGCGCAAGCGUUAUCCGGAAUUAUUGGGCGUAAAGAGCUCGUAGGCGGUUUGUCGCGUCUGCUGUGAAAUCCCGGGGCUUAACCCCGGGCGUGCAGUGGAUACGGGCUGGCUGGAGGCAGGCAGGGGAGAACGGAAUUCCCGGUGUAGCGGUGAAAUGCGCAGAUAUCGGGAGGAACACCGGUGGAGAAGGCGGUUCUCUGGGCCUGUUCUGACGCUGAGGAGCGAAAGCGUGGGGAGCGAACAGG
rnacentral:rRNA from 1 species